UACGAAGGGGGCUAGCGUUGCUCGGAAUCACUGGGCGUAAAGCGCACGUAGGCGGCUUCUUAAGUCAGGGGUGAAAUCCUGGAGCUCAACUCCAGAACUGCCUUUGAUACUGAGGAGCUUGAGUCCGGGAGAGGUGAGUGGAACUGCGAGUGUAGAGGUGAAAUUCGUAGAUAUUCGGAAGAACACCAGUGGCGAAGGCGACUCGCUGGACAAGUAUUGACGCUGAGGUACGAAAGCGUGGGGAGCAAACAGG
rnacentral:rRNA from 1 species